GUUGUAUGGUUAAGUGACUAAGCGUACACGGUGGAUGCCUUGGCAGUCAGAGGCGAUGAAAGACGUAGUAACUUGCGAUAAGCCCAGAUUAGGUAGUAACAACCAUUUGAGUCUGGGAUUUCUGAAUGGGGAAACCCACUUACAUAAGUAAGUAUCAUUAACUGAAUACAUAGGUUAAUGAGGCGAACCGGGGGAACUGAAACAUCUAAGUACCCCGAGGAAAAGAAAUCAACCGAGAUUCCGAAAGUAGCGGCGAGCGAAAUUGGACUAGCCCUUAAGCUUUACACGCGUUAGACGAACGGUCUGGAAAGUCCGACGAUACAGGGUGAUAGUCCCGUAGUUGACGACGUGUGUUCAGUGAAAUCGAGUAGGGCGGGACACGUGAUAUCCUGUCUGAAUAUGGGGGGACCAUCCUCCAAGGCUAAAUACUACUGACUGACCGAUAGUGAACCAGUACCGUGAGGGAAAGGCGAAAAGAACCCCUGUGAGGGGAGUGAAAUAGAACCUGAAACCGUGUACGUACAAGCA
rnacentral:rRNA from 1 species